UACGUAUCAUCCCAUUGUUAUACUCAAUGUACUGUGAUCAUCCGUAAAAUACUGAGAUCAACGCUAUAAUAUCUUUUACAGUAUCAUUCGGUUUUCUUUCGCGCGCGUAUGAUCUCAGGUUUGACUGAAGGUACGGAAACGAUACGUACGCCUUUCUACCGCGCGCGUAAAAUCUCAGGUUUUACUCAAAGUACUGAGAUGGUAUCGUACUCGUGUCUUGCGCGUGCGUAUAAUCUUCAAUUAUACUCAAGAUAUGAAAACGGUACGUAUAUCAGCGCCAUCUGCAUCCGUCAUUUCUGUUCCGAUCUUUUUCCGGUAGCAGUACGUGGAGUGACAUGGCGACGUGCAAUCCAGGAAGAAAACAGUGUGAUUGAUAUCAAAGUUUAAGGUUAUCUGUUGGCGUUCUCGGAUAAUAACCGAAGUGGAGAUUCAACCGGACAUUCAGGAGAUAGAGGCGAUCCCGGUGGAGAUACCGUGCGAGACCGUGGAGACGAUCGAGGGCGAGGACGAGCAGCCGAUGAUAGCGCUGCAGCCGCUGCCGGCCGGCUUGGUUGCAAAGUAAAAAGCAUAUGCAAGUACCAAGUCCCUGAGGUGCAUUUCGACGUUUUGUUAACGUUUUGUUGACGUUUGGUAUUAUUUUGAUCAACUGCUGGCUGGGUUUCCUACCUACUGCUGUUCAAUAGUCUACGCUGGACAAACUAUACGUGACAGGUGUGAUAAGAAAUGCACAUGCAUCUGUGAAGGAUGAACAAAUUUCUAAUCCCAUAAAAAUAUGGUUGGCACAUGCCAAAGAACGCAUGGAUCGCGAAAGAGAAAAGAAAAGGGGAAGAAACCAAAGAGAUCAGGUACAAAACGAACCUGAUGACGAAGCUGACGAACCUCACGAAUCUGAAGAGACUGAAGAACCCGAAGAACGUCAUUGACAUAGUAUUGAAUCAGUCCGUUAUCGUUACUUAAACCUUUCUCUGCGCAUCGAUGGAUUCAACAUCUCGAUCAUCGAGAUACCAGUAUUGGUCUCGCCUCACAAUAAGUAUUACUGCCGGUCAUUUAUUCGUGUCGCAAGAUGCUGAUCCUUCGCCGCUGAUUACCUACCGGUGUCCUCCUAUCCGUCACGUUCUUAUCGCGCUGUCACGUACCGUCCGUCCUUGAUAAUAAGGAUUCGCUGUCGAGAAGCCAUCAAACGCUAUGACUAUUACUCGCAUCUCGGCCGAUGUGUCGCGACGGCAAUCGCGGUCGUUACCUGUUUACGGACGGUUUUCUUCUAUUUUGUACGCUUAAUUCGGGCCAUAUUUGUAGAUAGAUUGUACGUUCGGAAAAGCUGCUCGACAGCCGCUAGUUUGACCGGCGAUAUCUAAGUUACUACGUCAAACACCGACUAUAGAGGAAUCGAAAUAAGGCACGUGGCUUAUAUUGUAGCGAGUUAGAUAGAAAUUUAGGCGUAAUUUACCUUGAAGUUCGUAUUGGGAAGCGACCGUUUCGAGCAAGGGGACAUCUCACGACAUCCAAUUUUAUUCGUCUUUUAUAUUAGCCUAGAGUCUUCUUGAACAAUAUUACUUAUUGGAUAAGUAUCUCGUGUAUAUGUUCAGAGAAAAUCUUGGUGAUCCUAUGCGAAUCUUCAAAUCUAUUCUUUUACAAAAUUCAAUACUUCUAUUUACCCAUUUCCAAAAUUUUAAUACUUUUAAGAUAAAUGUUUUGGUCGUCGUUUGUAAAUUGCAUGUCGCAGUUGUCCCCUCGCGCAUCACACGCGAAUCACUAUUGCGGCGCAAUCUGUCACUCCGGAUUAAUAAACAUAAGCGAUUCAACACGAUGGUAUGGCCUAUUACUACUGGUAGAGAUGGGCGAUACAGAUAUUUUAGAUAUCGAUACGAUUAACGAUUUGCAUGUAUAUAAAUUUUUCUUGUUGCUACACUGAAAAAAAAAAUUAUUAUUUGCAAGAAAAUAGAUUUCUUUGA